CGAUCCCACUCGGCUCCUUCCCUUCGCGGGGGACGUCGGGAGGAAAUACGUCAGCGCCGGCGUUUGGCCUGCUGGGAAAUGUAGUUCCUGGGUCGGGUGCGUGCAGAACUCCGCUCUAGAGGAGACUGCCGUUAGAUGGUCCAAGCCAGUUGUCUAAGCAGCGGAGACAGUCUCUACUCUGAUUUUACUCUGGAGCCCAAGACUUAUUAACUCUACAGAGGCUAACCUUCAACUAAACAAAAUAGUAAAUAUAGACAAACCAAAACAAAUCUCGUGGGUCUUUUUGCUAGCCAGUUUCAAAAUGAAUGAUAGUCUUUAACCUGGACAGGAAUCAGGAAGUCCUGCUGGAGGAGCUCUAAAUGCCCUAUGUGGUGACAGAAAGCCCUACAAGAAGAGUUCUAGGAAUACCUGGCCGACUUCGUUUGUGGUCAACACAGUGAGGGCUCAUCUGGGAUCCAGAGAAGACCCGGAUAGCUCUGGGCUGGUGAGCAAACAAAUGUGGUGCCCACAGAGCCAGUUAUUUGAUCUGGUUGUUUUUCUCCCCUCCGCAGAAGCUUGAAGGAGACCCUGAAGAGGUCCUUCCUGGUAUCAAGGGACAAAAGGCUGCUGAUUUUGGAAGACCUGACUAUUGAUCAGCUAUGCCUUCAAAGAUCUCCAUCAAAA